rnacentral:rRNA from 1 species
ACUGUAGCAAUACAGUUGAUGGCGACCGGCAAACGGGUGCGGAACACGUACAGAACCUUCCUUCGAGCGGGGAAUAGCCCGGAGAAAUCCGGAUUAAUACCCCAUAGUAUGGUGAAGAGGCAUCUCUUUAUUAUUAAAGAUUUAUCACUUGAAGAUGGCUGUGCGGCUGAUUAGGUAGUUGGCGGGGUAACGGCCCACCAAGCCUGCGAUCAGUAACUGGUGUGAGAGCACGACCAGUCACACGGGCACUGAGACACGGGCCCGACUCCUACGGGAGGCAGCAGUAAGGAAUAUUGGUCAAUGGACGAAAGUCUGAACCAGCCAUGCCGCGUGGAGGAUGAAGGUCCUCUGGAUUGUAAACUUCUUUUAUAUGGGACGAAAAAAGGCUUUUCCAGGUCGUCUGACGGUACCAUAUGAAUAAGCACCGGCUAACUCCGUGCCAGCAGCCGCGGUAAUACGGAGGGUGCAAGCGUUAUCCGGAUUCACUGGGUUUAAAGGGUGCGUAGGUGGGUUGAUAAGUCAGUGGUGAAAUCCCCGAGCUUAACUUGGGAACUGCCAUUGAUACUAUUGAUCUUGAAUACCGUGGAGGUCAGCGGAAUAUGUCAUGUAGCGGUGAAAUGCUUAGAUAUGACAUAGAACACCAAUUGCGAAGGCAGCUGGCUACGCGAAUAUUGACACUGAUGCACGAAAGCGUGGGGAUCAAACAGGAUUAGAUACCCUGGUAGUCCACGCCCUAAACUAUGGAUACUCGACAUCAGCGAUACACUGUUGGUGUCUGAGCGAAAGCAUUAAGUAUCCCACCUGGGAAGUACGAUCGCAAGAUUGAAACUCAAAGGAAUUGGC